UAGAUUCAUUCAAACUAACAAUGCAUAUGAGUUUGUCACAGUUUUAACAUAUGCAUUCUUCUUGCAGAUGGUUGAAAAAGAAGGUUAUCUUCAAAAAGCUAAAAUUGCAGAUGGAGGAAAGAAACUAAGUGGGAGAGUUGAUCCAGAAACAUAGCUUCUCAUUACAAUCUACCUCACUUUAAUGAUAAGUGAAAAGGAUUGAGAAGAGUGCUGUAGAUUGUGAUUUGCUACCUGGGACAAUUCUGUGAUAAGGUAUGUCAGUAUUCUCCAGAUAACUUCUUCUUAGAAUAAUCUAUCAUGACUAUUCUUUUAAUAAACAUGUAUUGAACAGCUGUACA